rnacentral:rRNA from 1 species
UACAGAGGGGGCAAGCGUUGUUCGGAAUUACUGGGCGUAAAGGGCGCGUAGGCGGCCUGUUAAGUCGAACGUGAAAUCCCUGGGCUCAACCCAGGAACUGCGUCCGAUACUGGCAGGCUUGAAUUCGGGAGAGGGAUGCGGAAUUCCCAGUGUAGAGGUGAAAUUCGUAGAUAUUGGGAAGAACACCGAUGGCGAAGGCAGCCAUCUGGACCGACACUGACGCUGAGGCGCGAAAGCGUGGGGAGCAAACAGG